rnacentral:rRNA from 1 species
UUGACCUCGGAUCAGGUAGGAAUACCCGCUGAACUUAAGCAUAUCAAUAAGCGGAGGAAAAGAAACCAACAGGGAUUGCCCCAGUAACGGCGA